AUUGAACGCUGGCGGCAGGCCUAACACAUGCAAGUCGAGCGGAUGAAGGGAGCUUGCUCCUGGAUUCAGCGGCGGACGGGUGAGUAAUGCCUAGGAAUCUGCCUGGUAGUCGGGGAUAACGUCCGGAAACGGGCGCUAAUACCGCAUACGUCCUGAGGGAGAAAGUGGGGGAUCUUCGGACCUCACGCUAUCAGAUGAGCCUAGGUCGGAUUAGCUAGUUGGUGGGGUAAAGGCCUACCAAGGCGACGAUCCGUAACUGGUCUGAGAGGAUGAUCAGUCACACUGGAACUGAGACACGGUCCAGACUCCUACGGGAGGCAGCAGUGGGGAAUAUUGGACAAUGGGCGAAAGCCUGAUCCAGCCAUGCCGCGUGUGUGAAGAAGGUCUUCGGAUUGUAAAGCACUUUAAGUUGGGAGGAAGGGCAGUAAGUUAAUACCUUGCUGUUUUGACGUUACCAACAGAAUAAGCACCGGCUAACUUCGUG
rnacentral:rRNA from 1 species